rnacentral:rRNA from 1 species
AUGCAUCAAAUCCCAUUAGAACUCUGCAUUUAAGUGUGCUCAAGCUAGAAUAGUACUGGGAUGGGUGACCGCCCAGAAAAUCCUAGUGUUUUACAUG